ACCACUGGUCUAUUUUAUUCCAUUCAUUAUUCAAACGAAGAAAGUGAGGCCCAGAGGGGACGCGUUGGAGAAGAUCCUUGAAUUCAGCCAAAGGAAGUCUGAUUCUGACCCAAAUCAGUUCCCCUCUUCGGGUUUUAGUUUCCUCACCUAGACACAUAAGUACCUAAAGAUGACAACAAUAGCCCAUGUUUAUUGACCCCUAGGAUGUGAGGUCUUAAGUGUUAUGCGUUUUCCAUGGGCCAUCCCAUUUAAGAUUCAAUAACUUUAUGAGCUAUAAUUAUUCCCAUGAGAACACUAAGGCAAGGGAGGUUAAAUAAGUUGGCUGAGGUCCUUCAGUGGCAAAGGCAGAAUUUGAACCUUGGCAGUCCCUCUCCAGGGCCCGGGCACUCAGUCACCACUCGCAUGAGGACGGGAUCCAGAUGGGUCAGCUGGGAAGCGGGGCCUCAGCCCCACUGACCCCUGGGCCAGUGUUCAUGCCACUGGGUCAGGCUGUGUACUCAGCCAGGGCAGUGCGGGUCUUAGGUCGUCUGGAGUCCUCUGUACUCAGGGCUGUGACCAUGAUACUCAGCACACACCCUGGAGCAGGGAGCUUUGGGCCAGAGCGGGGCUUCCAGAAGGAGGCUUGGAAAGGCCGAGGAGAGCUUUUAGGUUUGUCAUGAGGGAAUCCAGGAAGUGUAAGGGUUCUUGACCAGGGCCGUGACUGUACAAUAUUAUAGAGAAGCCUCUCCCUGCUCCCUCCCCACCCCCAGGUGGCGUGCCCACUUAGGAAGUCCUCUAGUAGGCGGCUCAGUCCACAAAGCCAUGCAGUGACACCCCCUCCCUCACCCAGUGUGUCCCUUCCACCCUGAUUAUUCCAGCUUCUUCUCAGAGGCUUUACUGCUAGAACUAGAUGUUGGAUCUGGCUUCCUCCUCAGAAGACAAUUUAUGGCGACAUGUCGGAGACUCUGUUUUAAUGAAGUUGCAAAAGUAGGUUAAUGGGCUGUGGGUGUUUUUCAUUCCCUUCCCCCUGCCCCUUCUCCACCCCUGGGCAGAUGAAUGAUGCCUCUCCCAGCACGACUCAGAGUCGGGCUGAGGAUCUUGGGCCUGGACGUGUAUGCUCACAUAUCUCUUCCUUGGCCUCUACUGGAGCCCUCAGUACCGUCCUCCCUGCUGCUGGCAAGGUGCUCAGCACAUCUAGCCCCCAUCCCUCCUGCUGUAGCUACGGCCUGAAGAUGCUCCAAAGUCUGCCCAGCGGGAAAGAGCAUGGCAUAUUUGAGAGGCAGGAACCAGGGCAAGGGCUGGGGCAGGGCUUGGGACCCUGGGGAAGAAGGCAGCCAGAAUUAUGGCUAAUGGAUUUCUUUUGGAUGAGAGAGGCCUGGAGAUGGGAGCUUAGCUAGCAUGGACCUGGGGAAUUCUGCAAGCUGACGCUGAUAUUUUGGGGGAGGAGCUGAGUUUCUGAGGACCUCCCCCAUUGUUGUUCCUCCUUCUCUAAUUCAUUUCUGUGUCUCCUAGGGCCAUGCCUGAUACAUGGCUGCCCUUGCAAAUAGUCGCCGAGUGAAUGAUGGACACAAGAGUGAGUGGGCCUUUUUUCCCUGUCCCCAGUCUCUGGGGCUGGAACUCAUCCCCAUUCUUGCUCCCUUCCCACCUGUCUUCCCAGUGCUUGCCCCACACUGCCACCUCUGAGGACAUUUUCCAUGACUAAACUGCAAGAGUAAUUCUCCAUUUAUUUGUCUGGGUCCAACAUGAGGGUCUGUCAUCCUGGAAGAGUGGGGUCUCCAGGGGGAAGGGUCUAUCUCUUUUCCCUCCAGAUUCUCCACAUAGGGCUCUAAGAUUGGGGUUGGGGCCCAGAGCCUGGUUGUACUUGAAGGCACACAUCCGGGAGGACCAUCCUGCUGUCUAGGCCCCUCUCUCCAGUCCUUCCUCCCUAUAGAAAGCCGAGAGCACUCAUAGUCUCUGGCCUGUAGUCACUUCCAGGGGGGAAGGACCCUUCUCCACUCCCAGCCCCCUCCUGUCAACAAAUGAGGUUAUUGGUCAGGGUUUGGGAAUACCAGGAUGGGGUACAGCAGGCCUCACUUCCCUGCAACGUCAGACCAUCCCCCUUUUCUGGGCCUGGACCUCCUCUGUCCUCUCCACCCUUUGGCUUUCUUUUAUAGACUUAGCUCUCUCCCCUCCCUGGGCCUGGGAAGGAUCACAGGUUUGUGGCCCUUUAGACUAACGUUGUCGACAUCCUGAGAAGCUCUACCAUGAUGCCCAGAAAAGCCCACCAUAAUCCCGAGGCCAAUUCUUUUUUUCUUUUUCUUUUUUUCCAGACCCAGAUAGGACAUUCUUCUCGAAGACUCCAAAGACCUCACUGGACCUUGCUCCAUACUCAGUUUUGCUGUGGCAGAGGGAAGGGCAGCUACCCCUCCUGUGCCCGCGAUGUCAUGCUGAUGUGUGGAACGGGCACCGGCUCUGGAAUCGGUGUCCGGGACUGACUACCUGCGUGCACCUCUGUGAACCUCAGGUUUCGUGUCUGCAGUGCGGUGACAGUCGUAUCUCCAUGGCAGGGUGUUGUCAGGAUGAGAGAUAAUUAGCAGGGAGACACUGAGUUCCAGCGGGUUCGAUGCGCAGAAACAGACGGAAGUGAGAUACCAGGGAAGUACUGCCUCCCGAAGGGCCAUGGGAAGAGACAGCCACACUGCUUUUUUGAUGGAGGUCUUUAAAAAUGGUCUGAAUGAGGAAACCCCUGGCCGGUGGCAGAGGGCUGGACACGUCCUCUUACACUCUUGGGCCCCAGCCCUGGGGACACCGGAAGAAGGUCUGUAGAGGAGGUCAGCCUUGACCUCCUCCACUGCUCUGGCCCCAGCCUGGCCCCUGUGCCCCCUGCCCUGUGUGGACUGCUCACCCUGCCUUGGGUGAGCGCAGAGGGGCGAGGAGAGCCUUCUUGGCUUGCGGCAUAUGGUGAGAAGAUGUCCCGGGGAAUCCUCGCUCCUGAUUUAAGCGGCUCCGACAGCUUUAUGGCGCCUCCUCGAGUGAGCCCCCAACGUUGGCCGUUUAACUUUUUAGCGUCGUUUAACGCUUAGGCUCCGGCGGACAGGCAGGCCCCUCGGCCCCAGAGGCAGCGGUACUAAAUCAGGACACUCUGAGGCCCCGAUAAAUAAUUUUUACAGGGCACGCAGCCCAUAGAUCACCAGUGGGGGUGGGGGGAGAGUGGCUGUGAUAUUUCAAACGAUUGUCAUAUAUGACUACCCCGUGCUCUGAUCCAGGUCGUCCACAUGGCAGCCGGCUUCAUAACCACAGUCAGCUCCAGGGCCCUCUGCAUGGGGCAUGGGAGGAACAGUGGAGACACAGUGCUCUGGUGGCCCCACAGCCAACAGAUGACCCAUUGCCUGCCCUUGUCUACUGACGUGGUGCCCCAAUCCAAGCUUCCUCUGGCACUGGGAUAAUGGGGUUGCUGAGAGCAGGGUGGGCGAGAGGAAGAGAAAGAACUUUGUGUAGUCAAAAGGUCACUUUCGGACCACCUUCCUGGUCCCCAGACAACUCUAAGCCUGAGUGCUCCAAGGGACCUGGUGCCGGGACUGCGGCCAGAGGGAGGACAGACCAGAGUGCUGGAGUGCACAGGACCUGCGGUCAGCUCCCUGCCAUUCGCACCUCUAGGGAAAGGGGCAGGGCGGCAGGGGGACAGAGGAGAGGGGAGUGUGGAAGGACAGAGACUGGAACAGCGCAGGGAGAAGGGAGGGAGGAGGACAGAAGAGCAAAGAUGGAAAGGUGAGAGAGAGAGAGAGAAGGGGAGAUGGACAGGGACUCACCCACAGGGGACACUGCAACAGACGGGGUCUUUUCCUAAAGCCUGGUGCCAAGCUGGAGAGACAUGGUAUGGGCAGACCCGGGGCCGCAGCAUCUGUGCCCUCUGAGGGCGCCCUCCAAUUGGCUCCAGGCCCACGUUACUCUGCACCAGCUCCGCACUGCCCCCGCCCUUGCCCCUCCCUUCAGUGCCCUUGCCCCGUCCCCUCAUCUGUAAGAUCCUGGGAUUUGCGGGGACACUUAAUCCAUAUGGAGCUGAUUCAUUCCCAUCUAAAUCAUCUCCAUCAGCUUCCCUAAGAGCCCUCUGAUGUGCCAGCCGCCAUUCCUCUCCCCCGGCGGUGGCGGGCUGGGGGCUGCCAGUAAACAAACCUCAGCGGCCAUCCAUCAGUCCAGCGGAGACCAUUCGUCUCUCCAGCCCUGCUCCCCCUCCCCGCUCCUCCAGUCCCUCCAUCCGUUUGUCUGUCCCUCUUCUCAACAUCCCUCUCCUAGAACCUCCACAUCUCUGCCUCGUCCAGGGUAGGAUCUUGAGGGGUCAUGUCAGCUGCCCCCCCCCGUCUUCACGAAGACAGGAAACUUACCCCACCCCUGGCUCAGCAACAUGGAGGUUCACCGCCUUCCGAGAAGAGAGGCCUCCAAGUCUGAUGAUACUGCUACACGGCAUGGACAACCCAUACGCAGGGACGUUCUUUCCUCUGUCUAGCUUGUCUGCCUGAGAUCCACGUAGGAUCGUGUGUCUGAGCAGGAGCGAAGGUAAGGUGAUGGGGGUUUUGUACGAGCACGGGAAUCUCCAGUAUCUGUGACAUGCUCCCCCGUGGGUUAGUGUGGUAUAUGAAACGCAAGACCAGCGAAAUGGCCCUCCUUUGCCCCAUCCACCCCAGCGGAGUCCACCCAAGCACACAGUGGGUGCCCCGUGCCGAUGGCUUGCUGGCCAUAAUCUUGUUUAUGAGCUCCAGUGAGUCUAAUGGCCUUCCGUGCAUCCCAGAGAGGUGUCCUGUGGAAUGACCCAGUGGGUCUGAUUGUGGCCCUCUAGCCUAGCAGGGUUUGCAGGGAACACUAAGGAAACGUCUCUCACUUCUGCCCUCCUACCCAAACUUCUUAGCCCAGUCCUGGGGGGCCAGCUUGCGUGAACGACUCUGUAUUGGCAAUAACGGGGCUGGUGAGGAGGAGGACGAGCAGCAGGUGGGAUGGAGCCUUCCAUAGCACCGAGGUGGAACCCUCGCGUUUGGGGGGGAAGCCCUCAUGUUUACAUGCAUGAAUGAGAGAUCAGGAGGCGUUCCUUCCCAUGAUGGCCCUUCCCCUGUGAGGUUCUUCAGGUCAUUCUGGGAGCGAUGAUUCUGGGAAAGGGCCGGGGGCCCACUAGCCCCUCAGGAGAAGAUGGGGUCUGGGUCCUCUGGUCCCAUCUCAGUUUCUCCAUCCACAGCACCAGUGAGGGUUGGGGACAAGUCUACCUCUAGAGUAGGGAGUCUGGGUCAGACUCUAGUAAGCCUGCAGGGGGGAUGAUUUGGGCAUGAGUGAAAGGGUUUAGGGAGGGAGAAGUCACAGGGGAGGGGAUGAGCCUCACUUAGAUUCCACAGUAAUGAGGAGCAGGAGAGGAGGUGGGGAAGAAGAGUCUUCAGAUGCCCUAGGCAGAACUGGUGGCCCACACUGCCAUUCCCUCUGAGAGACCCAGGACACUUGGUUGAGCGUCUAGUCACCCCCCUCCCUGGCCCAGAUCAGACCAGACCAAGUAGAGAAUCCCACUGCAUGAGCUCCCCUAGCCCAUGAUUUCCCAGCACCUCUUCCCCUUGUCACCGGUCCCCUCAGGGAGCCGCUGUGAGUGCACACAGAACAUGUGGGGCUCUUCCAGCUGCUAUCCAGCUGUGAGGACCCCUGAGCAUGCCCCUGCCACCUCCCAGUGGGAGAGAAGACUCUAAUUCUAGUCCGAAAGCUGAGAAGGGCAGCGGGGAAGAGGGGCCGGAGGAGGCCAUGGGGAAGCUAACCAUGUACCCCAGUUGUGUGGACAUAUGUGUGGGAGGAGAGGGGCUUGCAGGUGUCGAGGCCCGGCUUAAGAAGGAUGGAGUGUUUCCUAGUUCUCUGAGCUAGAGACAUAUGGGGCAUAUAACACCAAGAAAAUGAAAAUUAUUGCCUAAGAGAGAGAGAGAGAGGGUGUGGGGGAACAAGAAAAAAUCCAAGCCAGGGAGACCAAUGCCAUCCACCCCCGUCACCAUCAUGACCUGACUAUCUGUGCUUGACGAGGUCAAAGUCUGAGGGAAGGGGGAGCUUGAGAACUGACCCUCAGGGCCUCCCGGAGGGGGGAAGCUAAUCCCCCAAAUGUGCAUUUCCCUGCUGUUACACAGAGCGGGGGAGCUGGGAACAGCGCUCAAAUUCUCCAGGUGGGACAGCUGCUGGGGCUUUUCUGCUUUCCUUCCCUGUGCCCUCCCUUUUCUCUGGGCUGUUGGGGGAACCAGCGAGCUCUUCUCCCACUGGCCUGUCUCCCUCGGGUCUCCCCAGGACUGGGCCCUCCUUGUCCUCUCAGUGGGUUCCACCCUGUCUUGUCUCCCCCAGACCUCUUCGUGCGAAAAGCUUCCCAUAUUUUGUCGCUCCCCACACAAUCCCCUCCUUUGAAAAUAGUCCACUUACCCAAACUUGUGGCCAAAGGGGGUCCUUUAGGAUCCACUUGUAGGCUGGUGCCUUCCUCCAGCAGGGCCUGGAGUUUCGUUCGUCUGUCCAGCCUCCUUCAUGCAACAUCCAUGUGCCCAAUGUGGGCCAUGACCUCCACGACGCAGGCAAGGAUUCUAGAAGCGUUUCUGUGCUCACGGGCACGGCUCCAGGAGUAGCCUGACUUUUAAUGGAGUUGGCAGCCCUUGUUCUGAUUCCAGGAGAGAGAAGUGUCUAGAAGGAUGCCAGUGGGCUUGGGUGUGACUGAUGCCAUUUCCUUAGGGGAGGCCACCUCCUGUGAGGUCACCCUGUGAUAGUGGUGACUGAGGCUGGACAGCAGGAGGAACUUCUAAAGACUCAAAGUUGAAGGAAAGAUUUCCAGGUUUCAGUGAAGCUUUUGGGAAAGGAUGAUGUUAACCUUUUCAGGCUCUGUGGGAGCAGAGGGGUCUGUGUGUCUGGAAGGGUUUACUUCGACCCAGGUAGGACUGACCCCAAAGAGGGAUGGCCACUUCCUCUUUCCAGAACCCUGACUCAUCCACACUCAGGGCAAUCCCACUCCCAGUUUCUUAGAUGAUUGUUUGUUCCUUGGCCAGAAAUCUGGUUCUUGAACUCUGUCUCCUAUUCUUUUCAUGAUCUGGGAACAAACCAUCUUUGGGAACCAAAUGUAGCUUCAACUUAUGGAGCCAAAAGAACAGGGAGGCAGAGUCAUUUCUAGACAGUGACACUGCAAACCUACAAGGAGCUAGGAAGGUCCCCUUAUGGGAAUGCCAUCUUCUCUUUUUUGCAUGGGAAGGGAAAGGAUGUGACCCUGGGGGGAAAGGGCACGGUUGGUGAGAGCAGAGAGUGAUACCAGCUAUAGAGCACCCCCCGCCCCCGACCUCCGCCCAGCCAGCCCGGAUCCAAACGUGCACAUGAUGGAAAUGUCUUCACAGCCAAGGGCCCCUCCUUCCCAAGGAGAAAAUCCCACAAGUGGGGAACAUCUGGAUCAAACCACAGCCAUGAAAGCACAACAUCAAACGAGGGUUUCCCAGCGACCCUCCCCGCAGGCCCUGCUCCAAGAGAAAUUGCAGAUCUUCCUGCUUGAAGCUUUUAAGUGUCACAGAACCCCCUCAAGUUUGGGAUCACUCCUUAUUCACUGGAGACAGAUGUCCCUGAGUGAGCAUGGUUGGGUUUGAUUACCCCCAGCGGGAGAGAGUGUGUGUGACCUGAUCCUGGCCGUGUUGGGGGGUAGCCCGGGAUUUAAAGCCGUGAUGAGGGGCUCCAGCAGUUCAGGCUGGGGGCUGGGGAGAGACAGGGGACAGGUGGGCCUUUUAAAACGUGCCUACAUCAAAGGUUUGAGUAGGCUCCCUUCCCAGCGUCGGCGCCUGCAGGGCAAGAAAAGUGCUGAUUUCACCACAUAACUGCACGUAGGAUGGAUCUCAGUCUGAGAACUUCUGGGGAAUGUGGAGAGGGGAGGGAGGGUGCUCCCGACAGGGGAGGAGAGGCCAAAGGGGGUUUCUCAUUUCCAAAAUAGCCUGCCUAGGCCAAGGGAAAUGGGACCAGAGUCUGCCUCCUUCCUACUCAGCCCCUGCAGAGGGAGAUCAGGAGGGAGGGGUGCGUUCUUCCAAGGUGGGGAGGCUCGAGCAGCCGCAGCAGUGGGAGGUGGGCCCGGGAUCACAGAUGGAGGUCCAGGCGGAAGCAGGGCCAUCUUCCCCAAAGGUGUGAAGGAGGAAGGACCGCAGACCGUGUAAUUCUAGGACACAGUAGGCUCUUCCCUCUCUACCGCCCAGGGUCCUUCCAGACCCAGGAAUCAGAGGGCACCCGGCCAUCAUGUUGGCAGCGUGGGAUGGACUGCGGGGCAGACGGGUUGCGGGGGAGCACCCCAGGGCCGGAAUCCCAGUUCAGAUUUGAGUAAUCUGCCCAGAGGAUGUGUGAGAGAGUGUGCUGGCAUGUGGGCACCCCACUGUGAUCUUGGUUUAAGAAGCCAAUGGUUUAUUCUUAUGGUGGAAGGUGACCUUCGGUUGGGAGGGGUAAGGAGAAGAAGGGGUACCAUUUGCUUCAUUUUAUUAGCCACCCCCCCCCAUUUCAGGAUGCCUUCCCCUCCCCUUUCCUCUCGGAGGGUUAGAAGUGUGUGUGGUGCUCUGGUGAUGCCGGGUGUACCCAUAGUGUUGGUCCCACACUGCUUCAUAAAGGUCUAUUUACAGUUUCCUUUCCCGUCUGGGCUGAGAGCACCUUGAAGGCACAAACCCCCUUGCUCUUCCUGUGUUCCCAGCGCCUGGCACAGUGCGUGUUCCUAGCACCUGGUGCAGUGCCUGGCAGAGAGCGGGUGCUCAGUGAUGUUCCCCGUUUUCCCACGGCCAUUGUUGGGAAAACAAAGGACACCCACAUGAUGAUUCUUCAGCAUCCUGGAAGCCUCUGAGGGGAUCCUAGCUCCUGGCCUACCUCCUCGGGGAGGAUUCUCGCUGACAGCUCUUUCUCCCACCUCUGAAAUUUAUUAUCCAUAAAGUUCACCUUCAUGGU